rnacentral:rRNA from 1 species
AUUGAACGCUGGCGGCAGGCUUAACACAUGCAAGUCGCACGAGCGGCGGACGGGUGGGAAAUGUCAGGGAACCUGCCAGAUGGAGGGGGUUAACACCUGGAAACGGUAGCUAAUACCGCAUACCAUCAGAUGAGCCCAGAUGGGAUUAGCUAGUAGGUGUGGUAAUCGCUCACCUAGGCGACGAUCCCUAGCUGGUCUGAGAGGAUGACCAGCCCCUCUGGCACUGAGACACGGCCCAGCUUCCUACGGGAGGCAGCAGUGGGGAAUAUUGAGCAAUGGGCUCAAGCCUGAUGCAGCCAUGCCGCGUGUGUGAAGAAGGCCUUCGGGUUGUAAAGCACUUUCAGCGAGGAGGCGUUACCCGCAGAAGAAUCACCGGCUAACUCCGUGGCAGCAGCCGCGGUAAUUC